GACGAACGCUGGCGGCGUGCUUAACACAUGCAAGUCGAACGGAAAGGCCCUGCUUGCAGGGUACUCGAGUGGCGAACGGGUGAGUAACACGUGGGUGAUCUGCCCUGCACUUCGGGAUAAGCCUGGGAAACUGGGUCUAAUACCGGAUAGGAGCCAUUUUUAGUGUGAUGGUUGGAAAGUUUUUUCGGUGUAGGAUGAGCUCGCGGCCUAUCAGCUUGUUGGUGGGGUAAUGGCCUACCAAGGCGGCGACGGGUAGCCGGCCUGAGAGGGUGGACGGCCACAUUGGGACUGAGAUACGGCCCAGACUCCGAAGGGAGGCAGCAGUGGGGAAUAUUGCACAAUGGGCGCAAGACUGAUGCAGCGACGCCGCGUGGGGGAUGACGGCCUUCGGGUUGUAAAAUCCUUUCGCUAGGGACGAAGCUUUUUGUGAGGGUACCUAGAGAAGAAGCACCGGCUAACUACGUG
rnacentral:rRNA from 1 species